rnacentral:rRNA from 1 species
AUUGAACGCUAGCGGGAUGCUUUACACAUGCAAGUCGAACGGAGUGGCGGACGGGUGAGUAAUAUAGAGGAACGUGCCAAGAAGCGGGGGAUAACUACGAGAAAGAGUGGCUAAUACAGCAAACUAUUGGAUCGGCCGAUAUCGGAUUAGCGAGUUGGUGGGGUAAAGGCUCACCAAGGAACCGAUCCGUAGCUGGUUUGAGAGGUCGACCAGCCACACUGGGACUGAGACACGGCCCAGACUCCUACGGGAGGCAGCAGUGGGGAAUUUUGGACAAUGGGUGAAACCCUGAUCCAGCCAUCCCGCGUGUAUGAUGAAGGCCUUCGGGUUGUAAAGUACUUUUGGCAGAGAAGCGGUAUCUGCAGAAUAAGCACCGGCUAACUACGUGCCAGCAGCCGCGGUAAUUC